GCUCCAAUAGCGUAUAUUAAAGUUGUUGCAGUUAAAACGCUCGUAGUCUGAGAUGUGGGAGUGGGGGAUGGGGGGGUAAUGUAAAUUGCCUUUUAUUUUCACCUCAUUGUGUAUUUAUUUACACGAGUUACUUUGAGGAAAUUAGGGUGUUCAAAGCAGGCGUUUGCUUGGAUACUGCAGCAUGGAAUAACGGAAUAGGA
rnacentral:rRNA from 1 species